AGCAGCCGCGGUAAUUCCAGCUCCAAUAGCGUAUAUUAAAGUUGUUGCAGUUAAAAAGCUCGUAGUUGAAUUUCGGGAUCAAUAUAUUGGUCGUGCCUUCGGUAUGCACUGGUAUUAUUGAUUUCUACCUUCUGACGAACUAUGAUGUCAUUAAUUUGGUGUCAUGGGGAAUCAGGACUGUUACUUUGAAAAAUUGAGUGUUUAAAGCAGGCACACGCUUGAAUACAUUAGCAUGGAAUAAUGAAAUAGGACGUUUGACCCUAUUUUGUUGGUUUCUAGGAUCGACGUAAUGAUUAAUAGGGAUAGUUGGGGGCAUUAGUAUUCAAUUGUCAGAGGUGAAAUUCUUGGAUUUAUUGAAGACUAACUACUGCGAAAGCAUUUGCCAAGGAUGUUUUCAUUAAUCAAGAACGAAAGUUAGGGGAUCGAAGACGAUCAGAUACCGUCGUAGUCUUAACCAUAAACUAUGCCGACUAGGGAUCGGAUGAUGUUAAUUUUAAUGUACUCAUUC
rnacentral:rRNA from 1 species